rnacentral:misc_RNA from 1 species
CUGGAUGCCACAUGUCAUGUCCCUCACCCCUCCCCUUCCGCCCACAGCAGCUGCCUAACGAGCAUUACAGUCACAGCCACAAUUUGUGUCCUGUCGUGCUGCUCUGGCCCAGGCUUCUUCGAUGCCUGCUACCUUAUCCGCUCUCUCCGCGCUUCUCCUGUUAUCUUAGCGGGACCGUAGGCAAAGAGGGCGCACUUCUCGUGUAGGAGGCGGUGUGCAUCGCAGCUUUCCCCGUGCACGCUACCAAACGCGUGCCUGUUGACGCCGUUAUUCCCGCGUUACUCCAGAAUGGCCUAUAAUCAAAAGCAGCUGGAAGCCUACCGGCAGCUCAUUGCAGAGGGCAAACCCUUCCGCAGCAUCACGUGUCCAUACUGCAAUGGGCGCCGUGACGCCACUGUGAAGCAUGUCCACCCCAGCACAAAGCCACCCAGUGCGUGGGGUUUUUGGAAUGAUGUGCUGGUGCGCAAGUACGCUGCGGUGCAGUCACCGGCGGCUCGCGCAAACAUGGAAGCCACCGUUACGGACUCCUCGGCGGUUAGAGGAGCUCCGCGGCGUGUCACCGAAGAAGUGACGCGCAACGAGGCAGCGGCAGAGGCGCUGCAUCUCGACGCCACCAGCGGCCCUCGCAUGUUCAUUGUCGGUCCGAUGGUCGACCAGAGCGAGCUUCCGUUCCGCAUGCUGUGCCGUCAGUACGGCGCCACCGUGGCCUAUACGCCGAUGCUGCAUGCAAAGUGCUUCGCCGAGGGCGCCGUGUACCGAUCGCACUUUCUCUCUGUGUGCCCGCCGGAAGAAGUAAAAGCGGCCAUGGAGGCGUCACUCGCGAGCCCCCCCAUCGCAGCCGGCGGACACGGCGGCGGCAGUAGUAUGAGGGGAGGUGUAGGGGCUGGUAGCGAGAAUGCCGUGGCCGACACCGCGCUUGUGGACCGGCCGUGCAUCGUGCAGUUCUGCGGGAACGACGCGGACACAGUCUUGAGGGCUGCCCGGUUUGCCGUCCUCGGCGAGCAGGCAGCGGCAGCGGAGCAGACAAGCGGCAGCGGCGGUGCUUCUGUGGCUCCUGUGUACCCGGUGCACGUACGAGUCAAUGGUCUGUCGUCUUCAGAGAAAGCGCCAGAGCACCUUCUGUAUCAGUGCGAUGCCGUCGAUCUCAAUCUCGGGUGUCCGCAAGGCAUUGCCCGGCGUGGCCACUACGGCUCCUUCCUCAUGGAGGACUGGGAACUGAUCCACACCAUUGUGCACACCCUCCACGUGGAGUUGGAGGUGCCGGUGACGGCGAAAAUACGCGUGUUCGACCACCCCGGGCACGUGGAGGCUGCCGGUGACAAGCGCGAGUGCGCCACCAAUUGCAGCUCCGCUGCGUGUCAAGAGAGUGACGCUGUCUGCGCUGCUGCGGACACCUCACGGGAGCCGAUGAAGGAGGCCUUCGAUGAGGCUCUCACAAUCCUCUACGCCCGCAUGAUUCGCGACGCGGGAGCACAGGUGCUCUGCAUUCACGGCCGCACACGCGAGAUGAAGGGUCAGCAGACCGGGUUGGCGAACAUGGAGCUCAUCCGCCGUGUGCGAGAUGCGCUGGGCGGCACCAUCCCUGUCAUCUCGAACGGCAACGUGCGCACCUACGACGAUGUGAUUGACCACCUGCAGGAGACGCGGUGCGAGGGUCAUAUGUGCGCCGAGCCGCUGCUGUGGGACCCGAAGCUAUUCAGUAAUCCCUCCCAGCCCGUCAUGCCGGGACGUACCCAUGGUGCCGACAAGGCGACGCGACUCUCAGCGCUGCACACGGCGCUUGUGUACAUGCAGUGGGUGCGCCACUACCCGGUCGACAUCGGCUUCGUAAAGGCGCACCUCUUCAAGAUGUGCUUUCACAGCUACGAGCUUCACAAGAGCUUUCGUGAGGAGCUAGGUCAGCUAAAGACCAGCGCCGCGAAGACGAAGGUGGAGAAAGGAAGCGGCAUGGAUGUGAUGGACGCGAUGCGGUUGGGUGCAGCACCGAGAGCGGGUGAGUCGACUGUACCUAGUGGUGCGGUGCACGGGGAAGGGGAUGACGAAGAGAGUGCAGCUGUCGCUAUGGCUGCAGCAGCGGCGUCUGUGUCUGCCUCUGCCUUUAAGCAGUGCGUUGACGCGAUCGAAGCGCACCUGCUGGCCCUCGUGGAAGCGGAGCACCGAUGCUCAGUGGAUGGAGAGCAGCCCAAGUCUGCGCAGGCGGAGAAGGUGAAGGCGAAACAGGAAAUCGUCGAUGUGUGGGAGGAAGGGGGUGACCUGGGCAUCGACUUCUGACGAAGGAACUCCACGACAAAGUCGCGCAACUGACGGUAUGUCAGAGGCGACGCACCCACUCUCCGCCACACUCGCACACUCGCCCACUUCAUCCGUGUCUCGACCCCACCCCACCCCCUCCCUUCGAUGGGAAUCAAAACGGUACCGAGCUGCUUUCCGUGUGCAUACGAGUGUAUGUGCCUGUGUGCGUACGCGUUUGCCUUCAUAAAGAUGCAUGGGAAGCGGAACGGGCACUGUAAUAACAAACUAAAACAAGGCGCCAGCAGCCACGCGCACGGCGCGGUCCACCUGCCCAGCG